UACAGAGGUCUCAAGCGUUGUUCGGAUUCAUUGGGCGUAAAGGGUGCGUAGGCGGCGCCAUAAGUCAGGUGUGAAAUCUCGGGGCUUAACUCCGAAACUGCAUUUGAUACUGUGGUGCUUGAGGACUGGAGAGGAGACUGGAAUUCACGGUGUAGCAGUGAAAUGCGUAGAUAUCGUGAGGAAGACCAGUGGCGAAGGCGGGUCUCUGGACAGUUCCUGACACUGAGGCACGAAGGCCAGGGGAGCAAACGGG
rnacentral:rRNA from 1 species